rnacentral:lncRNA from 1 species
GGUUAUUUUCAAUGGACGCAAAGGAAAACAGACACGAUAUAAUUUGAAAGAUCGUAGAAAUAGCUUUGACUUGGAUUUUGAUCUCUUUUCCUCUGAUGGUGAUAAAUCUAAUGGCAUUCCGGUAAGAAUUACAUGUCCUAUUUUAUUUACAAAUAUUUGAAAAUGUGUGGAAACGAUAGCCGUUCGGGGCUCGUAGCUCCUAUUUUUGAAUGGGCCGUUUUUUACAUAUAUCACACUAGUUACUAUAACUAUAAUUACAUAAAUGCUAUGUACAAACAAUAUAACAAAACAUAAUAGUAUUAUAAAAAUAACAAAAAUAUUAAUAUAUUUGCAUGCUGUAUAAAUAACAUUAAAAACUCAUUAAUAAUUCAUAAGCGUGUCGUAUGUUUAUGUGUGAUAGAGACUUCCCUUGGAUUUACAUAAACUUUAACUUUGAUUACACAACGUAUUUUUCGAGAGUUACUUCGCCAAUGAACUUACUAGAUCCAUCGUUUUUGAAGGAAUUUAAAACAUUCGCAUGCAGUGUGUGUUUUAUCAGACCUAAAGAUACUCGGCUUCGCCUCGUAUCUUUACGUCUGAUAAAACACUGUCUGCUGCUUAUUAACCAUAUUUACAAAGAUAAUGUUAAAUCAUGCGGGUGCCGUAAAGAAUGCAUUUAAAUUUCUUAAAGAUGAUGUCCACUCCUGUGCACAUGCGCGAACUUUGUUUACGUUUUGAACUGCUAUACUUUUAAAAUAUGAUAUUCUAACUGAAUAUCUUAAACUUUUCUGGUUCGCUUUACUUACAAAUGAAUAUAAACUGUAAGUUUCAAUUCAAUUCAAAAAAGUUCGAAAGAUGCAAAAUUUGGGCAAUGUUUAUAUCUGUGCGUCCCCCUUUGUUAUAAGCAGAACGGAGUGGACAUCAUCUUGAAGGCUCAUGCAUUUUUCUUCGGCUGUAUGCUCUUCUUCAUAAAGUUUGUUUCUAGCUUUCCAGAUACAUAAUUGCUGUUAUGUAUCAAUAUAGUGUAGUAAUUGUGUAUAUACAUGCAGUAUCUAGGAAGAAGUUAUACUAAUAAAGUUUUUAUUUUUUUAUUAUUAUCAUGUUAUCGUAUUAUCGUGUUUUAUUAACACUGGUUCUUAUUUCUUUUUCUAGAAUUACGCAGAGUCAUUUGAAAUGGACGAGAGACGCGACAUUUAUAUGUAAUCAAAAAAUGAGAAGCCCACAUUGGCGAAGUAAAACUAGAAACUGCACCAAAUGUAGAAACAAAUUGUCUGAAAAUUUGUAAUCCAGGCACAACAUUAUGUAUGGAUUAUAAAUCUUUUGACAUAUUUGUUGAAGUUAUCCAGGUUAAAAAGCUAACUUUUAUCGAGCAUUCAGCACGGUUCUUCAAAACAUAUAUAUUCACAGCAAUUCGCACAAGCACGAACAUACUUAUUAACUUUAACAUUACCAUAUAAAGCGCAUGAAAUAUUAUGCGUGCAAUACCCCACCUCCAAAUGAUUACUUUCUUGCAUAUAUAAGCGCAAAUAUGGGAGGUGGUGGGUACGUGGUAGGUCGAAAUACUUUCGCCAGUCACGUGCACACACAUAAAAACACAGACGUUCGAUCCGCGUUAGUGUCAGCACGAUAAUUCAGAGAUUAUCUGAGUAAAAAACUAUCGAUAUUUUAUGGCUAUACAAAACACUAACCGGACUGACUUGAUCAAAAUAAAAUGAAAACAACAUAAUUGGUUAUGACUAAUAUUGCCAAAACAAUAGAGAUGCAGAAUUUUCCGACAAUGCAUGAGUCCAUGCCACUGUUGUUACUGUUAAUGAAACUCAGUACCACGCAACAUGUUUGAAAAUUAAAGAUGCAAAAUCUUGAUUAA